UCUCGGAAAUUCAAAUGUUGAUGUUUUUUUCUGUUAACUUGCGUUCAUUGACUCUUUUCCAAAUGUCAGUUGGCCAUGUUUAAUUUUGAAUUUAGUGAUUAUCGCCCUUGUCUGUACGCCAACUUUGUUUAACAAGCAUGAAACUCAUUAGUGUCUCAUUCUGUGACGUCUUCGUAAUGGCCUAUGAGAAGGCAGGAAAAUAUGAUACUAUUAGCUAUGUUUUCCGUGUGCAGCCAUGCAUCAUGGCUUAAAUGGUUGAACAGGUGAACCAUUUAUCACCGUGUUUCACGUUGUUAUACAACUCUUAUACGUUAUAUAUUUCCUUAUGGAAAUCUUCAAUGCUGAAUAAAAGCGUGCAAUAUGGACCAGAAAACAGAGCGGACCGAAUCUUUUUUGACAAUUCCAGAAGGAAAUGUCGAAGUUCUAUCAACUAGCAGCUUGACGCCGGUUUUCCCAACGAACGAAAGAGCGCAGCAAAGCGGUAUCCGAGAAAGCAAAAGUACGCGGCUUUUAUACAAAAAGAGGUCAAAUAGUGUCGAUUCGCAGCCAGCUUUUGAGCGCAGUUCGCAAGUACAAAUCCAACACAGUUAUGAUAAUUUUUCAAACGCUACGCUUAAACCUUUGCUAAAGCCUGAAGUCUCAUCAAAAUACAUUUACGUGACACUAAUUCUGAUAGCUUGUGGAACUCUAUUCGCAAUAGCAACUAAUUUGGCGAACCCAGUUUUCAUUUUGCAGCAACUCGAUGAAACAGUUACGGACGAAGUUGGCAAACAGUUAAAAGAUCUUGAGUUGGAUUCAAAAAAUUGCCCUGAAUUGUGGUUACCCUACAGAAAAUCAUGCUACCUUAAGCUACGUGACGAAAUAUUUCGAAAUUUUUCUGUUGCAGAUGGCUUGUGCUCUAAUGAAUUGAAUGGUUUUUUGGCGCAUCCUAGAUCGAUAGCAGAAUUUAAUAUUCUGAAGUCUCUUUCAAGUGGAACUUCAACAGAUGAUAUAUAUUUGUGGCUAGGAGCUAACAGACAAACUGAUUCUUGGGUUUCAGUUUUGAACGAGGAUAUUGGCCAUGUUCUGGAUCCUUUCUGGGAAAAUGAUUCCAUCGAAACAGGAAACAUUUCACUUUUAGAAUGUCUUGCAUUGUCAAAUGAUGGGUAUCUUCGUCCAUUGAACUGCUCAGAAGAAGACUAUGGAAUCGUUUUGUGUGCAAUCGAUGUAGAUUAGCCACACGAACUCAAAAUUUGUAAUAAAUGAUUAUUAAAUGUUAAUGAACGAAGUGAAAUUUCAUUUAUUUAGGGCGU